rnacentral:tRNA from 1 species
GUGACUAUGGCUUAGUCAGGAAAGUGCUUGCCUUGUAAGCAUGAAGACCUGAGUUCAAUCUCCAGUACCCAUG